CCUACGGGAGGCAGCAGUAGGGAAUUUUCCACAAUGGGCGAAAGCCUGAUGGAGCGACGCCGCGUGGGUGAAGAAGGUCUUCGGAUCGUAAAACCCUAUUGUUAGAGAAGAAAGUGCGGGAGAGUAACUGUUCACGUUUCGACGGUAACUAACCAGAAAGCCCCGGCUAACGACGUGCCAGCAGCCGCGGUAAUACGUAGGGGGCAAUCGUUAUCCGGAUUUAUUUGGCGUAAAGGGAACGCAGACGGUCUUUUAAGUCUGAUGUGAAAGCCUUCGGCUUAACCGGAGUAGUGCAUUGGAAACUGGGAGACUUGAGUGCAGAAGAGGUGAGCGGAACUCCAUGUGUAGCGGUGAAAUGCGUAGAUAUAUGGAGGAACACCAGUGGCGAAGGCGGCUCUCUGGUCUGUAACUGACGCUGAGGUUCGAAAGCGUGGGUAGCAAACAGGAUUAGAUACCCGAGUAGUC
rnacentral:rRNA from 1 species